UACGGAGGGGGCAAGCGUUGUUCGGAAUUACUGGGCGUAAAGGGCGCGCAGGCGGCUGCUCAAGUCAGGCGUGAAAGGCCUGGCUCAACCCGGGAAUUGCGCUUGAGACUGGGCUGGCUUGAGUGCGGGAGAGGAUGGUGGAAUUCCCAGUGUAGAGGUGAAAUUCGUAGAUAUUGGGAAGAACACCAGUGGCGAAGGCGGCUAUCUGGACGGUUCUGACGCUAAGACGCGAAAGCGUGGGAGCAACAGGAU
rnacentral:rRNA from 1 species